AUUGAACGCUGGCGGCAGGCCUAACACAUGCAAGUCGAGCGGAUGACGGGAGCUUGCUCCUUGAUUCAGCGGCGGACGGGUGAGUAAUGCCUAGGAAUCUGCCUGGUAGUGGGGGACAACGUUUCGAAAGGAACGCUAAUACCGCAUACGUCCUACGGGAGAAAGCAGGGGACCUUCGGGCCUUGCGCUAUCAGAUGAGCCUAGGUCGGAUUAGCUUGUUGGUGAGGUAAUGGCUCACCAAGGCGACGAUCCGUAACUGGUCUGAGAGGAUGAUCAGUCACACUGGAACUGAGACACGGUCCAGACUCCUACGGGAGGCAGCAGUGGGAAAUAUUGGACAAUGGGCGAAAGCCUGAUCCAGCCAUGCCGCGUGUGUGAAGAAGGUCUUCGGAUUGUAAAGCACUUUAAGUUGGGAGGAAGGGUUGUAGAUUAAUACCCUGCAAUUUUGACGUUACCGACAGAAUAAGCACCGGCUAACUCUGUG
rnacentral:rRNA from 1 species